rnacentral:lncRNA from 1 species
CGUUAGAUGAUAAUUAUAUUAAUCCAUUUUGGGUUAAGAUUUUUUUUUUUUUAAGCUUCAUCUUACAACGAUGAUCUCUGCAGACUGCAGUAUUUGGAGAAGGCAUCCUACUGUAUAUCCAUAAUUGGAGAAUAGUCAUCAUGUGGUAAGUUGUCUAGAGCUAUUUAACGUCUUCUGUAUGUAUAAAAAUGUUUUGUUCAGUAGACGAAGCUAUCUCAGGUAAAAAUUGGAAGACACCAAAAGAUGAAUGUCAUAAGUCAUAACACUCAAGAUGGUAUGAGAAGCAACCUUCUUUACGAAAAAUAUUAUCAUGUUCAUCAAGACAAAUGCGGACAAUACAAGAAUACAAAAAACAAAGGCCAAGUUCUUUUUUAUUACUGAACCAAACAAAUAACCACCAACCGAGGAAAGAGAGGUGGCAGAUCUGCUUCACAUACAAAGUUCCAAGAAUCCACGAAAUAUCGGCUCCCGAUGCU